AGUGGAUGGGGAGCAACCUAGUUGUGCGUGUGUAAAGGUAAUGCCAAGAAAAGCGGUGAUCAUGAUGAAAAUCAAUUCCCGGUACCCGAAACCGACACAGGUGGGCAAGUAGAGAAUACUAAGGGGCGCGAGGUAACUCUCUCCAAGGAACUCGGCAAAAUGACCCCGUAACUUAGGGAGAAGGGGUGCCACCGAGAGGUGGUCGCAGUGAAGAGGCCCAGGCGACUGUUUAGCAAAAACAUAGGUCUCUGCAAACUCGAAAGAGGAGGUAUAGGGGCUGACGCCUGCCCAGUGCCGGAAGGUUAAAGAAGUUGGUCAGUCUUAGGAUAAAGCUAGCGACUGAAGCCCCGGUGAACGGCGGCCGUAACUAUAACGGUCCUAAGUAGCGAAAUUCCUUGUCGGGUAAGUUCCGACCCGCACGAAAGGCGUAACGAUCUGGGCGCUGUCUCGGAGAGAGGCUCGGCGAAAUAGGAUUGUCUGUGAAGAUACGGACUACCUGCAUUUGGACAGAAAGACCCUAUGAAGCUUUACUAUAGCUUGGAAUUGUGUUCGGGCUUCCUGUGCGCAGGAUAGGUGGGAGGCGAAGAAGGUAUUCUUGUGGGGAUACUGGAGCCAACGGUGAGAUACCACUCUCAGGAGGCUAGAAUUCUAACUUAAUUAAGGACAGUUUCAGGUGGGUAGUUUGACUGGGGCGGUCGCCUCCAAAAAGGUAACGGAGGCGUACAAAGGUUCCCUCAGACUGGUUGGAAAUCAGUCGCAGAGUGCAAAGGCAGAAGGGAGCUUGACUGCGAGAAGUACAGUUCGAGCAGGGUGGAAACACGGUCUUAGUGAUCCGACGGUGCUGUGUGGAAGGGCCGUCGCUCAACGGAUAAAAGUUACUCUAAGGAUAACAGGCUGAUCUCCCCCAAGAGUUCACAUCGACGGGGAGGUUUGGCACCUCGAUGUCGGCUCAUCGCAACCUGGGGCGGAAGUACGUCCCAAGGGUUGGGCUGUUCGCCCAUUAAAGCGGUACGUGAGCUGGGUUCAGAACGUCGUGAGACAGUUCGGUCCAUAUCCGAUGUAGGCGUGAGAAUAUUGAGAGGAGCCUUCCUUAGUACGAGAGGACCGGGAAGGACGCACCGCUGGUGUACCUGUUAUGAUGCCAAUUGUAAACGCAGGGUAGCCAAGUGCGGAGAGGAUAACCGCUGAAAGCAUCUAAGUGGGAAGCCCACCUCAAGAUGAGUAUUCUGGUGUAAGGUCACGGGAAGACGACCCGUAAAUAGGCACGAGGUGGAAGUGCAGAGAUGUAUGAAGCCGAAGUGUACUAAUAGACCGUCGGCUUGAC
rnacentral:rRNA from 1 species